UACGUAGGUGGCAAGCGUUGUCCGGAAUGACUGGGCGUAAAGGGAGCGUAGGCGGCGCGGUAAGUUAGGAGUGAAAUCCCGGGGCUCAACCCCGGAACUGCUUUUAAAACUGUCGUGCUUGAGUGAUGGAGAGGAAAGCGGAAUUCCUAGUGUAGCGGUGGAAUGCGUAGAUAUUAGGAGGAACACCAGAGGCGAAGGCGGCUUUCUGGACAUUAACUGACGCUGAGGCUCGAAAGCGUG
rnacentral:rRNA from 1 species